rnacentral:rRNA from 1 species
CACGUAGGGGCCAAGCGUUGUCCGGAUUCAUUGGGCGUAAAGAGCUCGUAGGCGGUUCAGUUAGUCGGGUGUGAAAUCUCCGGGCUCAACCCGGAGGGGCCACCCGAUACUGCUGUGACUUGAGUCCGGUAGGGGAGUGGGGAAUUCCUGGUGUAGCGGUGAAAUGCGCAGAUAUCAGGAGGAACACCGGUGGCGAAGGCGCCACUCUGGGCCGGUACUGACGCUGAGGAGCGAAAGCGUGGGGAGCGAACAGG